UUGCAGGAUCAACCAGGUAGCAUUCCUCACGGACAUCGGGCCGCAAGACGCGUCGCGUCAGUACGGCGCCGAACGUCGUUCGAACGUGGCGUGUGACGCCAAUUUCGUGGGCAAAGAGGGGUCAGGGACCCCGUGCCCAUAGUGUUUUCUGCAUCCCAGAGGUCGAGCAUGAACCCGAGGGCCGUGACGACGACGCGGUGCGCAACCGUCACGGAACACGGGUCUCGCUUCGGGGUUCGCCCGUAACCGCGCCGUGCGAACGGGCAGCGCUAGGCGAACGUGGGAAGAAUCGGCCAACACAAUUCCGUCUACGUAGGUAUGCAACACAGGAAACCGACGGCCACGGCCAAGGCAACUCGCCCUUGUGCCGACGACUGAGGAGGAGUGCACGGAAGGACGUCGCUGCCCGAGCAGGGAUCAACAAAACCCCAUACAAGA
rnacentral:misc_RNA from 1 species